CCGUUGUACACACCGCCCGCCACACCAUGGGAGCGGGUUCUGCCAGAAGUAGUUAGCCUAACCGCAAGGAGGGCGAUUACCACGGCAGGGUUCGUGACUGGGGUG
rnacentral:rRNA from 1 species